UACGUAGGUGACAAGCGUUGUCCGGAUUUACUGGGCGUAAAGAGCGCGCAGGCGGUCGUUCAAGUCGAGUGUGAAAGCCCCCGGCUCAACUGGGGAGGGUCAUUCGAUACUGAUCGACUCGAAGGCAGGAGAGGGAAGUGGAAUUCCCGGUGUAGUGGUGAAAUGCGUAGAUAUCGGGAGGAACACCAGUGGCGAAGGCGACUUCCUGGACCAGAACUGACGAUCAGGCUCGAAAGCGUGGGGAGCAAACAGG
rnacentral:rRNA from 1 species